rnacentral:rRNA from 1 species
UACCAUGAUUGCCCUAGUAACGGCGAGUGAAGAGGCAAAAGCUCAAGUUUGGAAGCUCAAUGGUUUAACCAUUGCGCAUUGUAAACUGAAAACAGGAUCAAUCAGGUACACCGGGUGAUAAGUUCCUUGGAAUAGGACAUCAUGGAGGGUGAGAAUCCCGUCUUUGACCCGAGUCUAGUAUCUUUUGUAUUGGCCUGUUCAAGAGUCAGGUUGUUUGGGAAUGCAGCCUAAAGCUGGAGGUAAAUCCCUCCUGAAGCUAAAUAAUGGCGAGAGACCGAUAGCGAACAAGUACCGUGAGGGAAAGAUGAAAAGAACUCUGAAGAGAGAGUUAAACAGUACGUGAAAUUGCUUAAAGGGAAGCAUAUAAAGCUAGGAUGCGAUUGUUUUCUUCAGGUUGAGCUUUGGCUUGACUGUUCAGAAGGAUAAUCCAAGACAACAAGAAUUGGAGGAGGAGAAUAAGCCAUUGGGGAAGGUAAUCCUUCGGGAUGUUUAUAGACCUGAUGGUUCGCGCUCUUCUUUCGAUUGAGGUACGCUUUUUUUAAAGGUUGUUGUCUGAAUGGCUUUAUAUGGCCCGUCUUGAAACA